rnacentral:lncRNA from 1 species
CCUGGCCAUUUGAUCUAAAUCCUGAAUCAAGCUCUACGUUCCUUUCUCAUUUUCUUUCUCUGUAGAAACGGGCAGGGAGCACCCGAGUCAAUGUCAGUUAGUGAUGGCUUUUCUGAUAUUUGGAAGAAACAUAUUCUAACAAAUAGAACUGUGCACACUGCAAGAUGAGUGCCUGUGCACUGGGAGUUAAAGCAGCAAAACAAAAAAGCAUUCUAAUAAGCCUGGGAAUGGAGAGAAAUUACCUUGAAAUGAACACUCCUGAAAUGGCCACCCUGUUACAGGUGAGGCAGAUAAAAUCAACUGACAUUUUGAGAUCCA